rnacentral:lncRNA from 1 species
GCUGAUGUUAGGGUUUUUGGAUAACUCGUAAGCGCAUGAAAGACCUGCGGAACCGGCACCGACGAUGACGACGUCGGUGUCGGCGUAGGUAAUCAUGUCUGUCAUGUAACGACGUGUCAUUUCACGAGAGACGAUGGAUUCUUUGAUAGGUGCGAAUUUGAAGGAGGUGAGAUCGUAAGGAGGUGUGGUUAGUGACAUGGUGAGUUUUUGGGAGGUGGAUUUGAGGAGGGUAGGGGUGCGAAUAGCAAUUGGUUUUCCAUUGAAGAAUGAGGAUUUGGGAGUUGAAGAGAGAGAAGUGGUGAG